rnacentral:miRNA from 1 species
CCGGGGCCCUUAAUGCUUCGUA